CUGUUUUGGGAGCACUUCACUGGCCACCACUACUGAUCAUUCACAUGCUGUAAGGACAUUUGGUGAGAAAAUGAGAAUUUCUCAGCGGCCACCAAAAAUAGUUGCAAAGGAAUAUCCAGAAUUGCUGUAAUUUAAGCGACUGGGUCAAAUUAUUGACCUGGUCUUUGAAUGUUUUGAGCGAUCGUGUAAUCUUCACCCACAAAAACAGGAAUUCCCCAAUCUGUUUGCUGCUUUUAGCUAUAAAGGUUUAAAAGAUAAAACUGCAAGCAAACUGUGUAGGUUUUUUUUUUUUAGCAAAAGUGCUCCGUGGCUCAGAAUCAGCCAAAUCUAUCCUGACAGCCUGUUUAAAGUCCAGUUGUUGCUCAAUAAAGUUUAUCCAGCUUCCAAAGCCAAGUGAAUUUCAUAUAUUGUUCCCCUAAUAAACCGCAAGCAUGUGUUCCUUAGCAAAGUUAUGACCAGGAUGUAGAGAAGUGUAAACCCAGUUAAACUCCCUUUUACCAGAAUGAGAAUGUUAACUGCACACUGAAGUGUACUCAUUCCACUGACAUGAAUCUCCAUUACACCUUUGAACCAUCAUGGGAUUUCUAUCCAAAAGGAACUAUUUGGACUGAAAUCCACCCAAUAAGUAACAAGCGUUGGAGCCAUGAUGCAGGUUUUGUUGCUUUUGUUGAAACACCGGGUGAAUUGGGACGCGCAGUUCCUACAUUUGAACACAGGGGGCGCAUCACCAGUAAAAUGCAUAUAGAAUCAGAACCAAACAUGGAGAAGCAGCGUUCUGUUUAUCUGCUUCAAGUAUCUGGAACAAACUCCCAGAAAGCUGCAGAGAGUCAAAGUCCGGGUAUUUUUGCUGCGACUUCCUUUUCAAAGGUCAUUUGAGGCACAUCAAUAGAAGGAAGAGCAAGGUGUGAAGACUGAAGGAUGGUUAACACAGCUAGUCGCUGCCAGGACAAAGCUCAUGAAAGAGAAUCCGAGUCCCGCAUCGCCCUGUGAUGAGCCCUAUCAGGUCUGGGCAAGGCUUUAGACAGUGGCUUGUUCACAACAUGUCUGGCGAUGUUGGCCUUUGUGUUUUUCUCUGAUUAAAUAAACUUGCAAU
ensembl:lncRNA